UAUAUUUGCCGCUUGAUACGAAAGACGUAUCGUGCAUAAAAAUCAUUUACAUAAAUAUUGGAAUG
rnacentral:ncRNA from 1 species